AAAUAAAAAAAUAAAUAAAUAAAAAAAUAAAUAAAUAAAUAAAAAAAAUAUGCAUGUAUGUUUGUGCGUAAGAAUACAUUUACAUCUAUUUAUAUACCGUUUUUUUAAUGUGAUAAGUGCUCAAAAUAUAUAUCCAUUUGUAUGUUUUAACUUUUAGGUAUGUAGCUAAAGAAAAUAUAAAUAAUGACUUAAAUACACAGACUGAGCUUAACAAUAUAGUUAUAGAUAAUGGAGAAGAAAAAAAGGGAUGGUGCUGUUAUAAGUAAAGAUAUUAAUGAUAAAAAUGUUGGUUUAGAAAAAGAAGAAAGUAAGAUGUUUAUUGAAAAAGAAUUAACAGAAGAUAAAAUAGGAAUGUAUAAAUCUAAUUUUGACGAUUCUGUUGAAUAUAAUAAAGAACAAAAUGAAAAGAAUGAAGAAAAUGAAAAAAAUGGAGAGAACGAUUUUAGUUUUGGUAAUAGUUUAUCUAUGACGCAGUUAGGUCAAAGUAAUAAUGCAAACUUAUCAGGUUGAUUGUAUUAAAGAAAGACCAUAUUUAAAAAUACAAGAUGUAAUUAAACCAGUUCCAUGUGAAGCAAAAAUAACUAGUAAAAAAUAUAUCGAUAGAGCUUAUGCAAUUAACCCAAACGAGUUACCUCAGGACGAUAUCCAUGGCAUGUGGAUGAGAGUAAAUGCUCACUUGGCUGAUCAAAUGAAGAAGGAGUAUGGUGAUAUGUUCCCGUAUUAUAAAAACGAUGAAGAAAACGAAAAAAGAAGUGACAAAUCGUCGGAGGGACAUGAGGAAAACACCUCAAAUGAAAAUUCCAAUGAAGAUAGUAAUGGGAAUUUAGACACAUGGUCUUCUACAGAUCCAAAUAAUGGUGCUGAACACCAAACAGAUAAACAUAACUUCGUAGAUAAAAACAACCAAUAUAGUGAACACGAAAUUAAUAAUGACAGUAGAGACAAUAGAGAUAAUCGAGAAAGUUUAGAAUUUACAGGAGAAAGAAUAUAUUUAAAUUCUAAUGAAGAAAAUGCUAUUAAUAAUAUAAAUGUAGAAAAUAACAACAGUAAUAAAAUAAAUAAAAGAGAAAAUAGUAGUGAACAUAUAAAUAAUGAGUUGAAUCAAUAUAGUUUUAUUAAUACAAGAAAUGAAAUAGAAAAUAAUAGUAAUGAUUAUUCUUAUAAUAAAGAUGAACAAGCUGAAACAAAUAUAACAAAACAUAAUAUAUAUUCUACAUAUAAAAACGACAACAGCGAGAAUAACGAGGAUAAUAAUGUAGACGUUAGUGGAGAUGUUAGUGGAGAUAAUAACAAGUUUUGUUUAAGUAAGUUAUGUUGUAAAAAAAACAAAUAAAACAAAUUCGAAUAUUACAUCAAAUGAGGAAAAAGAAAAUAAUUUUGAAUAUGUAAAUGAUUUUAUGAACGAAAUGAAAAAAAACAGAUUAUUUAGAAGAAAAACCAUUGGCAAAUUUAUAUCCUGGUCAUCCACUUUAUAUGGGUUAUAUACAAAAUAAAUGGAUUAAUACAAAUACA
rnacentral:lncRNA from 1 species